rnacentral:lncRNA from 1 species
AUCAUCCCAUGUAUAGAAGUACUUGCUUAGAAAUCAUGGUGAAUUAGUACGUAGGCUAUGCUGAGAAGAAUAAUUGGAAACUGAAAAACAAAGAUUGACUAUAGUAAUUAAAUGGAAACUUUAAAAACCAUCAUUUAAAAUGUAAAUCUCUUCUCCAAUAAAUGUAUUCGGUCCUUUGAAAGAAAUUCCUUUGCAAUCACUCUGAAGAAUAUAGAUUGUAAAGAAUCCUGGCUGUGAGAAAGGAAGCUGAAAAGGGUUUGUUUUUCCCUCUGACACUUUGCAGCAGAGACAUCUCAGAAUUGCCUAAGUGUGAAUAUCUAAAAUUACAAACUAGUGUUCUCUAGAAAUCUUAGGAUACAUGUGUGAUGAUAAAGAGAGCUACAGCUGUACUCAUUACCAGUGAAAUAACUCAUGAAAAAGUUUUGGGCCAACUUUCGAUAGCAUGUUGAAAGCCACUGCGUUUUCUUUGUCUCUACUUGCUUAUUGUUCAUUUUUGCUUCAUUACCUAUGAUGGCUUCUCUGUAUCCCAUAGUGAGAGUAGGGCCUGGAGAAGGUUUGUAAUCCUAUCACACUUCCAAAAUUAUUGAAUAAAAUAAUAGAUGCCUUCU